rnacentral:tRNA from 1 species
ACUGUGAUGGCCGAGUGGUUAAGGCGUUGGACUCGAAAUCCAAUGGGGGUUCUUCGCACAGGUUCGAAUGUUGUUCACAGCA